CAGUAGCCGCGGUAAAACGAAGGGUGCAAGCGUUAAUCGGAAUUACUGGGCGUAAAGCGUGCGUAGGCGGUGAGUUAAGUCUGCUGUGAAAUCCCCGGGCUCAACCUGGGAAUGGCAGUGGAUACUGGCUCGCUAGAGUGUGUCAGAGGAUGGUGGAAUUCCCGGUGUAGCGGUGAAAUGCGUAGAGAUCGGGAGGAACAUCAGUGGCGAAGGCGGCCAUCUGGGACAACACUGACGCUGAGGCACGAAAGCGUGGGGAGCAAACAGGAUUAGAUACCCGCGUAGUCCCUGUCUCUUAUAC
rnacentral:rRNA from 1 species